ACUAGCCUUUCAUGCAGGAAGCUUGAAGGUUCCCCUUUACUAAAAUAUCCGGAUGUCAAUCUCUCGGGAUCCGUUGUUCAAGGACACGACACCAAUGGUCUCAACAGCUCGGCAAAAGUUGACGACAAAGACGAAUACUACAAGCAGCAUCACAAAAUUUUUCAGUCUGAGAAAUCAAAGGGUGGAAAAGGUGCAUACGGUGGUGCAAAUGCCCCCCACCAUCCUAACAAGAAAAACGCAGCUCCACCGCUCCUCAACCCACCUUGCCUUCUGUUACCUGUUGGGUUACAUGUAAUCUUCACCCUUAUCCUAUCAUUUCCAGCU